rnacentral:rRNA from 1 species
GACGAACGCUGGCGGCGUGCCUAAUACAUGCAAGUAGAACGCACAGUUUAUACCGUAGCUUGCUACACCAUAAACUGUGAGUUGCGAACGGGUGAGUAACGCGUCGGUAACCUGCCUGGUAGCGGGGGAUAACUAUUGGAAACGAUAGCUAAUACCGCAUAAUAUUGAUUAUUGCAUGAUAAUUGAUUGAAAGAUGCUAUUGCAUCACUACCAGAUGGACCUUGGUUGUAUUAGCUAGUAGGCGAGGUAACGGCGCACCUAGGCGAGGAUACUUAGCCGACAUGAUAAGGUCAUCAGACACACUGGUACUGAGACACGGCCCAGACUCCUACGGGAUGCAGCAGUAGUGAAUCGUCGGCAAUGGACGAGAGUCUGACCGAGCAACGCUGCGUGAGUGAAGAAGAUUUUCGGAUCGUAAAGCUCUGUUGUGAGAGGAGAACGGGUGUGAGAGUGGAAAGUUCACACAGUGACGGGAUCUUAGCAGUAAGGGACGGCUAACUACGUG